UACGUAGGGGGCAAGCGUUGUCCGGAAUCAUUGGGCGUAAAGAGCGUGUAGGCGGCCCGAUAAGUCCGCUGUGAAAGUCCAGGGCUCAACCCUGGAAUGCCGGUGGAUACUGUCGGGCUCGAAUCCGGAAGAGGUGAGUGGAAUUCCUGGUGUAGCGGUGAAAUGCGCAGAUAUCGGGAAGAACACCCGUGGCGAAGGCGGUUCUCUGGGACGGUACUGACGCUGAGACGCGAAAGCGUGGGGAGCGAACAGG
rnacentral:rRNA from 1 species